GCCGGGGUUGCCGAGUGGUAAGGCGGUGGUCUGCUAAACCACUGGGCUCUGCCCGCGUGGGUUCGAAUCCCACCCCCGGCG
rnacentral:tRNA from 1 species